rnacentral:piRNA from 1 species
CCCCUGGGAUAAGUGAGGGUAGUGUCUUG